ensembl:lncRNA
GGCCCCUCCGCCCGCCGCCGAGCCGGCGCUGUCAGGGCUUGUGUGAGUUUGGGGGCAAGCGUUCUGCCUGUUUGUGCCUUGCUUCUGUGCUGCUGGGGUCCUCCAGUGAUUUCUGUACUGGUAUGGUAAGUUCUGUACUGGUACGUUAAUUAUUCCUAGCACAAAUUUAACUUGUAUUACACGAGGCACAGCUUUGCCAGAAUUUCUUAGCUGCAGGGCUAUCUUGAUUGAUAAAGUCUGUUGUUGUAGCUGCUUUCACACUAGGGCAUUCCUGCAUCCUUGACUAGGUGAACUGUUAAGAAGGCUUUUAAGGUGAAUGCAGCUUCAUGUUUGCUUGUGGGCUGUUGCUACCAGGCUGUUGUGCCUGGUUUCCCUAUUGAGUUAGCUGUUUGUGGCUGAUAGAUAGCUUUGCAGGACUUGCUCGUAUUGACUUAGACCAAUGAAAUUGUACUCCUAGGAUUUAUUUUUCUGCAGAGAACCUCUGUAUGUACUUUUGAUAUGAAACACUUCUAUCUAAAAAGUAUACAGUUUUACUGGCAUAGGCUGAGUUUACGUUGCAAAUAUUAUGUUAGCAUUGUGUAUUUAUACAUCUAGAGGGAUAAAUUAUUGGAUGAUGAUGGCCACUAGUUUGUGAAAUCUAACUCUUCUGUGCAUGUAUUUGAAAUGUUAUGCUGGAAUGUGUUGCCCCUUACCUGGGUUGAUUUUAAUUUGCUUCUGCAGUGUUGUGAGCUGUCUCAGUGCUGCUGAUACUUGCAUGUCUAAGAUGGUCAUUGAGCCUGAGGUCUCAUCUCUCAUGCCCUAGUGGUCGAUAUUACUAUUUUAAUGAAGUGGGAGGGAUAAAACACUUCUAUGAGCUUGAACAAGUAAUAUUUGAGCCUACGUGCAGUAAGAAACUGGUCUCUGGAUGACAGUUGCCAAUACUGGCUAUUGUUAGAAUUAGGGCAUAAAUUGGCUAGCUAGCAAAAAUGGAUUUUGUUAGUCUCAUAGUACUGUUCAUUUCAAAUGCUCUGUUUGGGAAGUAGUUAAAACAGCUGUCCUCGCACUAAUACGUGAUUAUUUUUUUUAACCCUAAUUUGUGGC